GACGAACGCUGGCGGCGUGCUUAACACAUGCAAGUCGAACGGUAAGGCCCUUCGGGGUACACGAGUGGCGAACGGGUGAGUAACACGUGGGUGAUCUGCCCUGCACUUCGGGAUAAGCCUGGGAAACUGGGUCUAAUACCGGAUAGGACCACUGCCUGCAUGGGUGGUGGUGGAAAGCUUUUGCGGUGUGGGAUGGGCCCGCGGCCUAUCAGCUUGUUGGUGGGGUGAUGGCCUACCAAGGCGACGACGGGUAGCCGGCCUGAGAGGGUGACCGGCCACGCGGUGACUGUGAUACGGCCCUGACUCCUACUGCAGGCAGCAGUGGGGAAUAUUGCACUAUGGGCGCAAGCCUGAUGCAGCGACGCCGCGUGAGGGAUGACGGACUUCGGGUUGUAAACCUCUUUCAGCACCGACGAAGCGCAAGUGACGGUAGGUGCAGAAGAAGGACCGGCCAACUACGUGCCAGCCGCCGCAGUAA
rnacentral:rRNA from 1 species